ensembl:lncRNA
GUAGAUAAUAAAACUUGGUGAACUAUAGUGGUGGGGAAUUUUAGAGAAGUUGCACCAGCCAAGGAAGAGACUGAAUCUUGAGCCCCUCCCCUACACUACUUCCUGUCUCUUUCCCUAACUGCCUGGAUGAAGAAUCUUCUCACAGAUGAUGGAAGAUAUUAAGGAAGAGAGAAAGAGAAGAAAAGGGGAGAGAGAGAGAGCUCCAGCUUCUUCUGAGCCAGGAAGUGGAAGAGAAGGAGGGAGAGAGACAAUAUGGAUCAAUUUCAGAAAACACGUGGAAAUUUAUUAA